rnacentral:tRNA from 1 species
AGAAUCUUAAGUUAAUUAAAACUAAAGGCCUUCAAAGCCUUAAAUGGUAUUUCCAGAUUCUG